GACUUUGACCGUCGUUCGCCAGUCGUCAGUUUCAACUGGAGCGGCGGGCAGAAAGCUGAAAGCGGCUGAAAGGACAUACUGGAAGGACAUUUCGGAGGAAGGCGAACCAGAGCAGUUCCGAGCAGGAAAAGGCGAGAAACGGCCUGUGCUAAUUUUCCUGGCUAGCAGAUUUUUGGCGCGCACCAGCUUUAAUCCUGCAGUCUAAGUGAAUGUGAAAUGUAACAGGCCAAGUGACAGUUAGCAAAAGUCAGAAGACAAAAGGAAGGGAGAAAGCUGAAAGGGAGACAGCAGCCAAACAGAUGGAAACAACUCGCAGAUGCUGAUGUUCCUGCCCCAGGAGACAUUUAACAUAAUAAAAACGAACGUGUGCGGCAUUGUGUGUUGCCUUAUGGCCAAGUUAACUCCUGUUCCUGCAUCUUUGUGUGUGUGUAUGUGUGUGUGUUCGUUCCAUGCUAAUAUCACAGACAGUUGCCCCCGCUCAGCCCACACAAACUUACAAACAAACAAUAUUGCAAAUGUGUGCGUGAGGCAGUUGGCAAAAGUGUCGUAAAUCGUUUAGACAGCGCGACGUGGCCCAGAAAAAGGAGAUGAGGGCCAAAAAACGAUAUGUAAACGACACAGCAGUCGCCGUGGGAAAAACUGGGAAAUGCCAACCAAAAAAGCCAAGAAAACAGAGGAUCCGACGAUGAACUGCAUUUGUUGCUCAUAUGUGAUAUGAUAUGAUAUGCGGACAAAAUUCGUGACAAAGUAACUUUUUGCAAUAAUGACUGAUUAGUCCAUUUGUUGACUUCCAUUUGUUGACUGGUUUACAAAAAUCCCCCUUUAUUGCAGAUCCCUCCAGAAUGAUGAUGACAAUGGCCUAUAAAUACUGCGAUGAAUAUAAAUAUAGCCAUAAAUAAAG